CGCAUGUGCCAAUAUUUGCAGCAUAAUCCAAGACUGCCAACUUAACCUAAAAAAAAGACACUUUUUGCCAGACAUUACUUGUUUUUUAUUUUUUAUGACAUAUUUAUCCGAUCAAUAAUACUUGUUUAGCUCAACAGUCUCAGAUACUGAAGUAGUAAGAACUCGAUGAUCACUUGAGUUUGAAGACCAUGAGCCACGGUGAUGACGUAGAACAUCCGACCAUCAGCUGUAACGGGACUCUAUAAAAAAAGUCUUUACUUUAUAUCGCUCUGGAAUAACGCAGUUACAAUCCAAGUUACCGUACAAGGUAUCGUCUUCUCGGUGAAGAAAAUACUCCGAGAAUGAAGAUUGAAAUUGUAUGGAGAAUAUAGAAGUAAAUAUAAUAGAAGAGAAUGAAUGAAAAAAAAAAUUGAGGAUAAAGCAGUAGUAUUACGUUAAAUAAUAAUCAGAGUCAAAGGUUACGGCGAUAAAAACAUGUGGGAAUUCGCUGGAGGUUUUAAAACUCUUAUUUUUAAACUGGACCCUGCACUGCCGGUUUUAAAGGCUGGACAU